rnacentral:tRNA from 1 species
GUCCCCUUCGUCUAGAGGCCUAGGACACCACCCUUUCACGGUGAGAACGCGGAUUCGAAUUCCGCAGGGGACG